AAGUCGUAACAAGGUUUCCGUAGGUGAACCUGCGGAAGGAUCAUUAACACGGUUAGAUUUUCCAUUUGGAUUGUCAGUCUAUUUUUUCUUUAAUCGCCGCGCACCUUGUUAAAAAACGGACUUUGUUCGAACCAGGAAAUUGAGAGCAAGCUGCUUGAUUGAUGGGUGGCCUCUCGGUUGACAAACGACUUGGUUUUUGAAUCUCACGGUCCGUCAUCAAUCACUUGGAGCUUUCUUUUUGAUAAACACCUUUUCGUACUACUACCAGUCUGAAUCGUUUGAUCUCUCUGCCUCUUUUUCUUUUUUCUUUCUGAGAAAAGAGAGAGAGAGAGCGUUGGGAAAGAACAAAAAACAAAACUUUGAACAACUCUUAGCAACGGAUAUCUCGGUUCUC
rnacentral:misc_RNA from 1 species